rnacentral:lncRNA from 1 species
CGGCUACGGCCGGUCCCCUCGCUUGUAGGGACUCGCCUCCCGGGACAGCCACCACAGGCCUCUCGCUGCCCUCUGAGGGGAAGGGAGGAACCAAAAGGUGGAAGAGAGACGCAGUGUGCUCUUCCGCCGCUCAAUCCUGCUGACGGUGCGCGGACCAUCCGCGCUCUGGUUCCCUUCCGCAGUCCGCGCCUUGAGGCGGGCGCCAGGGAGCUGUCCGUCCCAUUGGUUCUGAAUCAGGCGCUACGGAAACGCUCCAGAUGAAACAGAGUCAUCAGAGGAGAGGAGGACCUGUCGGGAUUCAGAAGAAUUCUCUAAGCAUCAUAUCCUACUGGACCCCUGUUUCCAUCUCUUUUGAAGGGAUAUGAGACAUAAGACAAAGCAAAAUUCCAUGAAACAGUGGGCUCAGAAGUGUCUGCACAAAACUCCCUCAGAGACAACUUGGCUGGACCAUCCAACAUGAUAUUGAAACUGGGAGAAAACACUGCCUGGGGACUGUCAGUGGGAGAGAG